GGUUAGCUAGGCUGAACAGUUUUUACAAAAAUAUCCAACCGGACGGUUAUCUAUGCUAAACGAGAAGUAAAAUUUAAUCUAAGGACCGGACGGUCCGGCACAGCUCUCUAGCACAACUUCUAUAGGUUGCUUGGCUUGCAAGGCAUCCUCCAAGGUAUCUUCCAAGUUGCCCUCUGCUCACACCCAAAAGGAUGAUCAUUGCAGUGAAGAGAACAAACUGAACGGCCAAAUAUCGAACGACAACAUAAACAAAGACAGGACAGAUAAGGGUAAGCUUAUGUAAAUUUAAUUAAUCAUUUUCAACAUACAUAUAAACAUACAAACCGAACAAUACAUACCACAAUACCUUUGUAUUUAUAUAAACUGUACGUUUAACUAUUAUAACCGACCAUUAGACACUGUCCGGACUGUAUGAACAAUGUAGCUCGACGUCCCUAGCACCCGGUGUGGUGUAGUAGCUGCCUGAACUAUCAGCUGCCACUCGAGGUUAGUCCUGCAACGAUCAUCAAAUCUUAUGACCGCGGACCUCCUGCCAUUCCCACGCAUGAAUAACCUUUCUCUACAUGUUCAUAGUUUACAAUUCAUCAUCAAUCAUGAGACAUUCCCCCACUGGAAUUCUCUUACUUAUCCGAAUUCAACCAAAUACACACCUUCACAUUCAUAAGUGUAAAACACCGCUAAAAGAAUGACCGAAUUGUCUGACACUGAAAGGAAACAUGAUUAUAAAUAAAACUUUUAGGAAAUGACCGAAUGGUCAAAGCAAUAAGGAACUCAUCAGAGAAAGCUAAAGGGACUUAACC
rnacentral:lncRNA from 1 species